UGCAGAAUCCCGUGAACCAUCGAGUCUUUGAACGCAAGUUGCGCCCGAGGGACCCUCCCGAGGGCACGCCUGCCUGGGCGUUAGAAGCCCAUCAACGCUCCGCCGCCCCCCCCACGUACCUCGUGGCGGGGAGCCGGCCAGACGCGGACACUGACCCUCCGAGCCGUAAGAGGCGCGGUGGGCUGAAGUGCACGGCCGUCGGAUGGUGCCGGGAUCGGCGAGUGGUGGGCUACUGCGCGUGCCGACCCCGGAUCCCAUCCGGACAGAUGGCCCCUUCGGACCCCUCAACAAGGAGACUGCCGUCGCGGCAUCCCGCCGCGCCGCAUCUUCGGACCGAUACCCCAGGUCAGGCGGGGCCACCCGCUGAGUUUAAGCAUAUAAAUAAGCGGAGGAGAAGAAACUUACAAGGAUUCCCCUAGUAACGGCGAGCGAACCGGGAGCAGCCCAGCCUUAGAAUCGUGGCGGCCUCGCCGCCCGA
rnacentral:rRNA from 1 species